GGGGCUGAUCGGUUUCGACAGCGCCUGUGACGCCGCGGGAAGCGGGCCGAGGAUGCAGGGUUAUCUCGUAAACGACCUCUGCAAAAACAUAGUUGCCGAUGCAAAGCGCAACGACUUCGCCCUCGCUGCCUAAGCGAGCCCGAUAGUCCGUCAGACCGUAGGCGAUCCCGCUACGGACCCUGGCGUCAUCUAGGGAUCUAGCUGUGUGACGGGGUCUCGACGUCACAUGGGACUCUUCUGAGACUGGGCUCGUCGACUUAGGUGUCUGUGACAAAGGUCGGAGCCGAGCAGAACGUCUUCACAGACUGCGCCCGGAGAAGACGUGGUAUUUCAGCGUUGGACGGGGGUUCGAUUCCCCCCAGCUCCACUC
rnacentral:tmRNA from 1 species